rnacentral:rRNA from 1 species
AGAGUUUGAUCCUGGCUCAGGACGAACGCUGGCGGCGUGCUUAACACAUGCAAGUCGAACGGACAGACAGAGAGCUUGCUCUCUUGAAGUUAGUGGCGAACGGGUGAGUAACGCGUAAUCAACCUGCCCUUCAGAGGGGGAUAACAACGGGAAACCGUUGCUAAUACCGCGUACGAUUCAUAGGCGGCAUCGCUUGUGAAUGAAAGGUGGCCUCUAUAUAUAAGCUAUCGCUGAAGGAGGGGAUUGCGUCUGAUUAGCUAGUUGGAGGGGUAACGGCCCACCAAGGCAAUGAUCAGUAGCCGGUCUGAGAGGAUGAACGGCCACAUUGGGACUGAGACACGGCCCAAACUCCUACGGGAGGCAGCAGUGGGGAAUCUUCCGCAAUGGACGAAAGUCUGACGGAGCAACGCCGCGUGAGUGAUGAAGGUCUUCGGAUUGUAAAGCUCUGUUAAUCGGGACGAAAGAGUUCUGCGUGAAUAAUGCAGAAAAGUGACGGUACCGGAAUAGAAAGCCACGGCUAACUACGUGCCAGCAGCCGCGGUAAUACGUAGGUGGCAAGCGUUGUCCGGAAUUAUUGGGCGUAAAGCGCGCGCAGGCGGCCUAUCCAGUCUGUCUUAAAAGUUCGGGGCUCAACCCCGUGAUGGGAUGGAAACUAGUAGGCUAGAGUAUCGGAGAGGAAAGCGGAAUUCCUAGUGUAGCGG